rnacentral:rRNA from 1 species
UGAACGUACCAUUAUCGUUGCUUCGGCGGGCGGCGCCCAGCGCUCCCAGGCCCCCUCGCGGGGCGCCCGCCGGAGGUUACCUAACUCUUGACAACUGUAUGGCCUCUCUGAGUCUCUAUACUUAAUAAGUUAAAACUUUCAACAACGGAUCUCUUGGUUCUGGCAUCGAUGAAGAACGCAGCGAAAUGCGAUAAGUAAUGUGAAUUGCAGAAUUCAGUGAAUCAUCGAAUCUUUGAACGCACAUUGCGCCCGCCAGUAUUCUGGCGGGCAUGCCUGUUCGAGCGUCAUUUCAACCAUCAAGCCCCAGGCUUGUGUUGGGGACCUGCGGCUGCCGCAGGCCCUGAAAACCAGUGGCGGGCUCGCUAGUCACACCGAGCGUAGUAGCAUACACAUCGCUCAGGGCGUGCUGCGGGUUCCGGCCGUUAAACCCCUUUUUUACCCAAGGUUGACCUCGGAUCAGGUAGGAAGACCCGCUGAACUUAAGCAUAUCAAUAGCCGGGAGGAA